rnacentral:rRNA from 1 species
CCCUUAGAUGUUCUGGGCCGCACGCGCGCUACAAUGAUUGUCUCAGCAUGUUUUGGGUGUGUAAAUACCCAGGAAUCCCGAGUAACAAUCGUGAUGGGGCUAGACCCUUGCAAUUUUUGGUCUCCAACGAGGAAUUCCUAGUAAAGGCAGGUCAUUAACCUGCCUUGAUUACGUCCCUGCCCUUUGUACACACCGCCCGUCGCACCUACCGAUUGGAUGGUUUAGUGAGACCCUCGGAUCGGUCCCGACUCGGGGUGGGCUUCUGCCCCGGUCGUGGUUUCGCCGAGAAGACGGUCAAACUUGACUAUCUAGAGGAAGUAAAAGUCGUAACA